rnacentral:rRNA from 1 species
UACGGGGGGAGCAAGCGUUGUUCGGAUUUACUGGGCGUAAAGGGCGCGUAGGCGGCGCAACAAGUCACUUGUGAAAUUUCCGGGCUUAACUCGGAACGGUCAAGUGAUACUGUUGUGCUAGAGUGCGGAAGGGGCAACUGGAAUUCUCGGUGUAGCGGUGAAAUGCGUAGAUAUCGAGAGGAACACCUGCGGCGAAGGCGGGUUGCUGGGCCGACACUGACGCUGAUGCGCGAAAGCCAGGGGAGCGAACGGG